rnacentral:rRNA from 1 species
GAGUUUGAUCCUGGCUCAGGACGAACGCUGGCGGCGCGCCUAACACAUGCAAGUCGAACGGAGUUAUUUUCUUCACUCCGAGCUUUUUGCCAGUUAGCCGGAGCGGCAAUCGGUUUUGCCCAGCAUAAAAAGCAAAACCGAUUUAGGCUCAUAAAGUAAGGCUAACACAGAGGGCAGAGAGUUGGGAGUGAAGAAAAUAACUUAGUGGCGAACGGGUGAGUAACGCGUGAGUAACCUGCCCUGGAGUGGGGGACAACAGUUGGAAACGACUGCUAAUACCGCAUAAGCCCACGAUCCGGCAUCGGAUUGAGGGAAAAGGAUUUAUUCGCUUCAGGAUGGACUCGCGUCCGAUUAGAUAGUUGGCGGGGUAACGGCCCACCAAGUCGACGAUCGGUAGCCGGACUGAGAGGUUGAUCGGCCACAUUGGGACUGAGACACGGCCCAGACUCCUACGGGAGGCAGCGGUGAGGGAUAUUGGGCAAUGGGGGAAACCCUGACCCAGCAACGCCGCGUGAGGGAUGACGGUUUUCGGAUUGUAAACCUCUGUCCUCUGUGAAGAUAGUGACGGUAGCAGAGGAGGAAGCUCCGGCUAACUACGUGCCAGCCGCCGCGGUAAUUC